rnacentral:tmRNA from 1 species
GGGGAUGACCGGUUUUGACAGCAGGUAGAGUUCGAUUGUAAGCACGUCGAGCGCUGUGCGGCAGCUCGUAAAUCCCGACGCUCAACGUACAAAUGGCAACAACAGCUAUGCACUCGCUGCCUAAUUUUCAGAGAAAAUUGGCUUAAUCGCCGGGCCCAAGGAGGUUCGGCGACGAGUAUCCCGAAGGGUAGUUCCGCUCUUUAACCGCUCUUCAUACGGGGUAUCGUUCAUUUAGAGAUAGUACGGUGCAACGCCUCGGGCGCCGUGCGAAACAAAGAGGCUGGGACUUGGGUUAGGCCGCCGCCUGCCGGGCUCA